GACGAACCGUGCGAACGUUGUUCGGAUUCACUGGGCGUAAAGCGUGCGCAGGCGGCUUUGCAAGACAGAUGUGAAAUCCCCGGGCUUAACCUGGGAACUGCAUUUGUGACUGCAUGGCUGGAGUGCGGCAGAGGGGGAUGGAAUUCCGCGUGUAGCAGUGAAAUGCGUAGAUAUGCGGAGGAACACCGAUGGCGAAGGCAAUCCCCUGGGCCUGCACUGACGCUCAUGCACGAAAGCGUGGGGAGCAAACAGG
rnacentral:rRNA from 1 species